UGAGGAAUAUUGCGCAAUGGGGGAAACCCUGACGCAGCCAUGCCGCGUGAGUGAAGAAGGCUCUAGGGUUGUAAAGCUCUUUCAGAUGCGAAGAUAAUGACGGUAACAUCAGAAGAAGCCCCGGCUAAAUUCGUGCCAGCAGCCGCGGUAAUACGAAUGGGGCAAGCGUUGUUCGGAAUCACUGGGCUUAAAGCGUAUGUAGGCGGACUGUAAAGUCAGGAGUGAAAUCCCGGGGCUCAACCCCGGAACUGCUCUUGAAACUCACAGUCUAGAAUACUGGAGAGGUUGGGAGAAUUCCUAGUGUAGAGGUGAAAUUCGCAGAUAUUAGGAGGAAUACCAGUGGCGUAGGCGCUCAACUGGACAGUUAUUGACGCUCAGAUACGAAAGCGUGGGGAGCAAACAGGAUUAGAUACCCCCGUAGUCC
rnacentral:rRNA from 1 species